CCUACGGGACGCAGCAGUGGGGAAUAUUGCACAAUGGGGGAAACCCUGAUGCAGCGACGCCGCGUGAGUGAAGAAGUAUUUCGGUAUGUAAAGCUCUAUCAGCAGGGAAGAUAAUGACGGUACCUGACUAAGAAGCUCCGGCUAAAUACGUGCCAGCAGCCGCGGUAAUACGUAUGGAGCAAGCGUUGUCCGGAUUUAUUGGGUGUAAAGGGUGCGUAGACGGGAAAUUAAGUUAGUUGUGAAAUCCCUCGGCUUAACUGAGGAACUGCAACUAAAACUGAUUUUCUUGAGUGUUGGAGAGGAAA
rnacentral:rRNA from 1 species